GACGAACGCUGGCGGCGUGCUUAACACAUGCAAGUCGAGCGGUAAGUCCCUUUCGGGGGUACACGAGCGGCGAACGGGUGAGUAACACGUGGGUGACCUGCCCUCAGCUCUGGGAUAAGCCUGGGAAACCGGGUCUAAUACUGGAUAUGACUCCAUGACGCAUGUUGUGGGGUGGAAAGCCUUGUGCGGCUGAGGAUGGGCCCGCGGCCUAUCAGCUUGUUGGUGGGGUGAUGGCCUACCAAGGCGACGACGGGUAGCCGGCCUGAGAGGGCGACUGGCCACACUGGGACUGAGACACGGCCCAGACUCCUACGGGAGGCAGCAGUGGGGAAUCUUGCGCAAUGGGCGAAAGCCUGACGCAGCGACGCCGCGUGAGGGAUGACGGCCU
rnacentral:rRNA from 1 species